CGGGUGAGUAAUGCGUGACCAACCUGCCCCAUGCUCCAGAAUAGCUCUUGGAAACGGGUGGUAAUGCUGGAUGCUCCAACUUGACGCAUGUCUUGUUGGGAAAGUGUUUAGUGGCAUGGGAUGGGGUCGCGCCCUAUCAGCUUGUAGGCGGGGUAAUGGCCCACCUAGGCUUCGACGGGUAGCCGGCCUGAGAGGGCGGACGGCCACAUUGGGACUGAGAUACGGCCCAGACUCCUACGGGAGGCAGCAGUC
rnacentral:rRNA from 1 species